AGAUUUAUCUGCGAUUAGCUCAUAUCGGUCAAAAAUACUGGCACACAGAUUUAUUGGUCCGACUCUAGUAUAGGCUAAAGUCUCUAAUCACCUGCUUUUUAGUUACUUGAAUUAGUUUUCUACCUGCAGAAGUUUUUCUAACAGUGUAUGGGCAGGUUGUAAAGAGCAAAUACAACAAAACUGGGUAGACUGCACCGACAUACAUUCAUACGCUGGUUGGUGAGGCUACCAUGGGUGCCAACUGCUCAUCAGAAAGAAGAUGAUCAUUCACACUCACCGAUGCAGCAGCCUUCAGGAGCAACUGGCAGGAGAAUUGAAACACAUUUCAGAUACCAGCUAACAGCAAUUAACAUAUGUAACAUCUGUAUCAUAUCUACCAUGAAGAUGCUGGCUGUGUCUGCACUUGAUUGCCCUGUAAUAGCUCUGGCCAGAGCUGAUGCUGGCCAACAAGUCAACAUCUUGCCGCUGGCCGCUGUUUCCAAUAUGUCCCAGCCACCCUGACCAUAGAGAUUCCUUGUGUAACGCAGAGGCAUGAAGUACCUGUCAGAAUUAGGAACACUGGUGAACGUGUGUUCGUGAUUAAGACUUGUCUGUCUGUGUCAUCAGUCUCCUAUAUAACCUGAAGGCUCUAUAUUUUUCCACAUGCAUUACCGCUGCAAUGCUACUUAUGGAAUGAAGCUACAUGUGACAUAAGCCGGAGCUGAAUUGUCUCUUUUUGUUUACUGAAUUGUAUUGUGUUAUCUUUUUAAUUCUUUAUGCACCAAUAAAAGGCUUAAGCACUCAAAA